CAAGUUAUUGAAGGCUCUCAGCUUUCCAAGAUAAAAGCUACACUGCUGUCAGCUGCCAUCUUAUUAUUCCUGUGCAUAGACCUGCAUCAAAGAUUUUCCUCUUCUCUGGUAGAUUUGGUGCCCUAGGGGAUCAACCCACUGUUAACUCCUUAGAACACUGUUCCAGCUCCACUAGGAACUUUAUAAGUGCCAACUCUGUUCAUUGAGCUACAGAACUUCCUUGUAUGGAAGAAAACACUGUUGACCCAAGACUGUAUUGCUUGUCUGAAAACCUUGAUUGAACUGCAUAUCAAAAGCUCAAACACUGGUAUAAAUGUCUCU
rnacentral:lncRNA from 1 species